AACAUACAGGACACAAAUGUAAAAGAUGUACAAUAUUUGUGAUAUUCUCUAACAAAAAAACUAUGAAGUUUGCUUGACAUCAAAAGCAUAUUGAAAAUGUUGCCAUCUGUGUGAUACAGUACCACACACAAUUUUUUUGUAUUGGUCUGGGGAUUUGCCAAAAUUCAUGCCUCUUGUCAGCAUCCCUCCAUGCAGGUGCCUUAACCAACCAGCAGGAGUCCUUACUGCAGUCACAAGGAUGAGAGGAUUGGAGGUGGAAAUCAUGCAUCACUUCACAAAUCAUGUUGUGCAGUUCAGUUUGAAAAUUUGUAGUCACUGACUAUGUGUUCUGUUCACUUUUUUUCUCCUAAACUAAGCAGUCAAAUGCACUUCAGCAUGUACAACAGUAAGUGAACACAUCACCAUUCAUACGGCCACAAUGUUCCGCACAGAUUCAGACUGUCCUCAGUUCAGUAGUAUGUUCAGUCUGUUAGGGUUAGGGUUAGGGUUAGGCCAAAACUCAAGGUCCACUAACUAGUUUUUCUGGAGCUGAAACUGCAUCUUACGGGCUAUAUCAUUGAAUGGAGUUGGCUGUCAUCAAGUUAGGUGAUCAUUCACCUUAUGCAUUUCAUUAACAAGGAAGUGCUUCAACUCUGUUACUGUGGGAAUGUGUUCCCUUGUAUAGAUUGACAUCCGGAUGUCCUGUCUUCCAGCAGAGAUUUUAAGGUGGUGAAUGGUUUGUGGUAAGUUCUGACCUUGUGACUUAAAGACUCCAUUCUUUGAUAAAGGCAUUGAAAUGCAGUUAAAAGUUCUAGUAAAAGCUGGUAAGUGUAGCUUGAGUUAGAAUUAUUUUGCCUAAUUACUAUUCUUGUGGUAAAGAAUGAACUUUCGCACUCAAUGACCAACUGUGUUCAUUGUAAUGCACAACCAAGCCACAGAUAGCACUCCCAGGAAUCAAACCCUGGGAAUGUACAGUAUGUGCUUCAAAUUGUUAUUCAUGAGUCUCAAAAGAUGACCCUGACCUUUUCCCCAGCAAUUCAUAGAAUCAUACUUACAUAUGUAACUCUCAUUCUGAGUUGUAAUUAGAAAAGAGGGAGAGAUUUGAAGGCACACUGUGGAUUUUAAGAAAUUAUAAAUGGUGCAUGAAACAAAAAGGAGUUUGAACUGGAAAGAGGUAAAAAUAUGCAAACACGCAGACAUACUAGUAGUUCAUGUGUUUGUAUCUACUGUAUAUAAGCACAUUUCAAUGGUAUACAUGCUUAGUCUGUGAGGACUUCGCCAACUUGUGAGGACAAAGGACAAGUCCUCACAAGUCGAGAAGUGUAAAAGCACUUAUCAUGAUGCAAUUAUGUCCCUCUCGCCUUUUCUCAGUAUAUCCUAAUAAGUCCAUCAUACCUGAAUUCUAGUGUAUGCCAGUGUGUUCUCACAGUGUAUAAUCUCCCCCUACAGAUGAGUUCGCGGUAUUGCAGCUCCAUUCACAUUUCAUGUUUUUGAAGCGCAUUCAUUGGCUGACACGUCAGGCAGAUUCUGAUCAGCGAUUGGCUGCAUUUGAAGUCAAUCAGGGAGAUUCUGAUUAGUGAUUGGCUGCUGAGUUUAUGGUCAAGGUCUGGCCACAAGAGAAAGAAAACAACAGUGGCUGACGGCACAAUGGCUGCAGAUGUACACUAAUACAUACUUUGAAGCACCAAACUGUCGACUUCAAACUCGGUGGAUGUGUUGCUGAGGACCCGAGGGAGUGCAGUGCAAUUUGAACCCCCGACACAUUUAAUAUUAAUAAACAGGCGAACAGCAGCCGCUCAGCUCUGUGUCUGAGCACAGAGGAGCAGCGGGGCAGAGUUUAGAGCUCUGCUGCAUGCAGCCGAGAUCAGAGCUGAACAACAAGUCACAGAAAACAAAGAUGAAAGAGAGAAGGAGGAGAAAGACUCCUGAACAGGAUGCCAUGGACCAUAUCAUUUUGGGCAGAGACAAAUCUUUCCUAGAAGGAAGAUUCAUUAACACAUUUAAAGGAAAGUGAAGACACCCUCAUAAACUUACUCAUCUACAAAUUGCUUCACAUCUCUGACGUGAUAGUGAGCUGCUGUAACAAAAGAGUUUCCCCUCGGGGAUCAAUAAAGUAUUUCUG